CGCGGGAUAGCUCAGUUGGUAGAGCGCUGGACUCAUAAUCCAGGUGUCGUCGGUUCAAGUCCGGCUCCCGCAACCA
rnacentral:tRNA from 1 species